GGGCGUGUAGCUCAGCUGGUUAGAGCGUCACAUUGACAUUGUGGAAGUCAGAGGUUCGAGUCCUCUCACGCCCACCA
rnacentral:tRNA from 1 species